UCUAAAGUAGUCUAAAAAAGAUAUAAAAUUUAGAAUUUUAAGAUGUUACUCUUUUAGAA
rnacentral:tRNA from 1 species